AUGGGGAUACCGCUAGAAAAGGUUUGGGUCAGACUCUCAGGAGUUCCAGAGACUCUUCUUAAUGACUAUCUUAUUGUUGUGAGUCUUGGCUCUCUGUUAGGUAAAACAGAGAAGGUGGACAUGCCAUUCACAGGCCUGCAUGGAGAGGUGAGGCUACUUGUCGGUGUUGUGAAUGCGGAUUAUAUUCCAGACUUCGUACCAUGGACUUAUGAUGGGAUGUCUUAUGAUCUCGAUAUUGUGGUUGAGGAGGUUCAGCAGGCAAAUAAUAAUUAUGGGAAUACUGAUGUUGAUAUGACUGAUGGUGGAGAUGGUAGUCGUGAUGGUGGUGGCGACCCAGGGAUGGGAGGCAACCCCAGCGACCACAGUGGAAAGGACAAGCCGGCCAGAAAACCCACACAAUCGACUGAGCCGAAGACCGACAAGGGGUCGGCACCCCCAACCACUCCGGCAGCAUCUCUCCGUUUUGGUUCGUUUCAGGCGAUGUCCGCACCGAGUCGUCUUUGGGGUGACCGUGUGGAGAUAGAGGACUCUGAUGAUGAUCUUCCAACACAGGGGGUGGUGGUGGAGGAGCACCGACAGAUGACGAAUGAGGUUCCACCGCAGCUGACGUCUCCUCGCCGCCCAGUCACCCCAGUGGUGACAGAGGUGUCUAUGGCGGCGGUGACAGUGGAGGGACGGCCGUCGGCGAUCUUGCCUUCUCCUACAGUGGAGGGCUCUAGACCAUCUCGCUCUUUGUCACCACGUUCGACCAGCUCGACACAGGUGGUGUCCAGGUCGGGCAAUGAUGAUAGCACAUCGGCGGAGAUCUGUGCUUCGGAUGUCGCGAAUACUGAUACCGUGGUGGAGCAGUUCGGGAGGCCGGUGUCUCCCAUUGCUUCUGACUUAGUCGGGCAUACGGCUGGCGGCCACAGCCCGGCCGGAGUCGCUUUGGAGGACGUCAUCGCCUUUGGAGGUAUUCCGAAACCUAGUUCCGGUAACAGACGGUUCAGUCACCGGAUCCAGGGUCGGCCGGACGCGGAUGACAUACAGAUGGGGUGA
rnacentral:rRNA from 1 species